GACUAUGGCCAUGCGACCCUAAACAAGUCUGAUCCUGUUUGAUCUUGGAAGCUAAGCAGAGUCAAGCCUAGUUAGUACCUGGAGGGGAGACCAUCUAGGAAGAGCAGGUGCUGUAGGUG
ensembl:rRNA 5S_rRNA 5S ribosomal RNA